rnacentral:rRNA from 1 species
CUUUGUUGCCAGCGGUCCGGCCGGGAACUCAAAGGAGACUGCCAGUGAUAAACUGGAGGAAGGUGGGGAUGACGUCAAGUCAUCAUGGCCCUUACGACCAGGGCUACACACGUGCUACAAUGGCGCAUACAAAGAGAAGCGACCUCGCGAGAGCAAGCGGACCUCAUAAAGUGCGUCGUAGUCCGGAUUGGAGUCUGCAACUCGACUCCAUGAAGUCGGAAUCGCUAGUAAUCGUGGAUCAGAAUGCCACGGUGAAUACGUUCCCGGGCCUUGUACACACCGCCCGUCACACCAUGGGAGUGGGUUGCAAAAGAAGUAGGUAGCUUAACCUUCGGGAGGGCGCUUACCACUUUGUGAUUCAUGACUGGGGUGAAGUCGUAACAAGGUAACCGUAGGGGAACCUGCGGUUGGAUCAC